UGCAGAGGCCUGUUCACUGUCAUGCCUUCAUGCAGAUCUCUGGGAGCAGCAUGUGCACCAUGGAUGUUUAAGGAAGCUUAUUGCCAGCAAUGUCCAGAUGACUGGUGAGCCACAGCAAGAGAGGGGCCUGGCUGCGGGAGGGAUCCAGAAAGCAGGGAGCUGAUGGAGGUUUAGGAUUAGGACCUGAGGAAGGGAUGCUAGGGCAAGGAUGCGGGAGGUAGCAGUGGCCUGAACCCUCCUACACUCUGGCCACAGACUUGAUGUGGCAGGAGUAGUUGGGUGGGCAUUUUUCUGCCUGGCAGCAGAGGUCGCUUUCUGUCCUCUCCCCACACCAUACAUCACACUUUCCAACUCCACCAUACUCAACCCCCUAAGAAGAAGAAAGAGGAAAUGAGCUCCACAACACAGGU
rnacentral:lncRNA from 1 species